rnacentral:lncRNA from 1 species
CACCACUGUAUAUUUAACCAUUAAGCUAUUGAGGGACAUUUUUGUUGUUUCCAUUUCUUGGCUAUUACAAAUGAAAUUGCUAAAACUAAUUGUGUACAGGUUUUUGUGUGGACAUACGUUUUCAUGUCUCUGGGACAAAUGCUCAGGAGUGUGAUUACUGGGUCAUAUGGGGUGUGUGGAGAUGAAAAAGCACAGGAUGCAGAAUCAGAAGACCCUGUUUAAGACCUGGUUUCCUCGCUCACCUGCUGUGCUGCUGUUGAAAAAGAC